GUGCUUGUCCCGGCAGCACGUGUGUGAAACCUGGAGCAAAGCAGAGAAGGUGAAAUGGCCCCUGAGUGAGGGUGACGUGCAAAUCCAUGAGAUGCUUCGUAUUUUC